CUCGCGCCCAACAGUCUUCAGGUCGGUUUUUUUUUAGGGGGGUGAGGCGUAGGGGGUGCUGAUGGUGUGAGAGGUCCGGUCUGACUUGAAGACACCCUGCCCUAGGUACCAGCUGGAGAUGUUCUGUCACUUCCAGGACGUUGAAGGUCAAAACUUAGCUCUGGUGGACAGCGACACCUGGGACUCAUUUGCUGUUUUCAAAAUUCUUUUCUGAAAGACCUGAAUCCAGCAUACUCACCGUUUGUAUUUGGAGGAACACGUGGCUGGAACGGAUUCUGGAAUCAUCCUUUGAUACCUAAAAUGGGUGUGCAAGUUGACAGUGGACAAGAAGGCGUCUGGGAUUGAUGGAUCAGAUGAUGGGUCUGUGAAGACAAUGAAGCCAGGAAUUCCCAGUGAGCCCAGCCAGCCAUGCCUGAUCCAUCAAGGGAGGCACAACAUGCAAACCAAUAAAGAUCUUUCUACACAAUUGAAAGAGAAGAAGGAAUCACAGGAGAACGCCGUGUGCACAGGUCGGCCCUUCCCGAGAUCUGAGUUUGGUGACUGGGAUCUCUCCGGAUCUAGAAAUAAGCCACCUGGUUGUGGCCUACCAGACUGUUGUGUGAGUCUCAGGUCCUGUAACAAGAAGAGAAUACGCACACGGGAGCGCUUGGAUGUGCACAAAGGCAAGUGCUGCUCCAUAGAGAGAAAUGCAGUCAUUAGAAUGAACGCCCUUGGCUUGUUUAAUGUUUAA
rnacentral:lncRNA from 1 species